CUCUUUGGCAGUGUGUCGCGCGUGCUGUCGGGAUCAUGUCCGCCAUGUUUUCACACCAUCCGAGAAAAAAAAGCCCGUGAAAAACCACCAAAACUCACUCAGAGAUGGCUUUAACCGCCGGAUUUCGAUUGAAGGGACGCGAGUGAGCGUGGCCGCGGAGAGAACCGUCGGCUCGUGUGUGUAUUUGUACCGAAUGAUCCGUGUUUAGUGUGUUUGUGAUCGCUGAAAACAAUGAGUAAACUCUCGUUCCGCGCGCGAGCGCUAGACGCCGCCAAACCGCUGCCGAUUUACCGCAAUAAAGACCUCCCGGACCUCACUGACUGUGUGUCCAUCAACCGAGCGGUCCCGCAAAUGCCAACCGGGAUGGAAAAGGAGGAGGAAUCGGAGCAUCAUCUCCAGAGGGCCAUCUCCGCCCAGCAGGUGUUCAGGGAAAAGAAGGAAAGCAUGGUCAUCCCUGUGCCAGAGGCAGAGAGUAACAUCAACUAUUAUGACCGCCUUUACAAAGGAGAGUUCCGCAUCCCCAAACAACUCAUCCACAUCCAGCCUCUGGGUCUGGAUUAUGAACUGCCUGACUAUGAUAUGGACUCGGAGGACGAGACUUUACUGAAUAGACUUAACCGCAAGAUGGAACUCAAACCAUUGCAGUUUGAGACCAUGAUGGACCGGUUAGAGAAAGCUAGCACAAACCAGCUGGUCACUUUUCAGGAGGCCAAGCUGCUGCUAAAUGAAGAUGACUAUCUGUUGAAGUCAGUGUAUGAUUACUGGAUGAGGAAGAGGAAGAACUGCAGGGGCCCAUCGCUCAUUCCGCAGAUCAAGCAGGAGAAAAGGGAUGGCUCCACCAACAGCGACGCUUACGUGGCCUUUAGGCGUCGCACGGAGAAGAUGCAGACCAGAAAGAAUCGUAAGAAUGACGAGGCGUCUUAUGAGAAGAUGCUGAAGCUGAGGAGAGAGUUCAGCCGAACAAUGAGCAUCCUGGAGAUGAUCAAGAAGAGAGAGAAGAGCAAACGAGAGCUGCUGCAUCUGACGCUGGAGGUGGUUGAGAAAAGGUAUCAAAUCGGAGACUUCUCUGGAGACAUUCUAAAUGAGGUAACUGUACCUCUGGCAGAGAAAACCAUUUACCCUGCACCAAUAUCCCUACCAAACGGCAGUCGGCACAAGACAGAGAGCAAAUUUAAGUCCCACAAAUCUGGGCCCAAACACCUGCACCCCUUCACAAUCAAGGCUGAGCCCCACUUUGACUUUGUGCGGUCUCAUAAGAAGUACAACAAGAGGCCCAAACUCGAUUUAUUACGGCAGCCUGGUUGGCCAGAGAGGCAGCAGAUCAUCAACAAGGCAGACAUUAAACAGUACGACUUCCACAGCUCUGGAGAGGAAGAUUACCCGCUGUCUCCAGCUUCAGAGCCGGAUGAAGAGAAUGAUCCAGAUGGAAUCUUUGCCUUCAAACGGAAGGCUGGCUGCAGUUACCAUGCUCCGCUGGUGGACCAGAGCUGCUCUCCACACUGGCAUCAGACAGGCCAGGAGCAGCUAUGGCAGCGGAACUGUCUCACCGCCCUCUCUGUGCCCAGACACUGUAUUGCAGUGGCUCGUGGGAGGGUGGGCAGAGGUGGCAGGUUUCUUUUGGAUCGCACCUCCUCGGAUCUGGACCGAGCCCUCAGACACCUGGACCCUGACAUGUUUUAUCCCUCCUCUGACUCUAGUGUGCCUGACCUCCCCGUUCAUACAAACACAAACUCUCACGCCGUCUCCAAAUCAAACUCUCAGCGCUCACUAACUCAGCUCCUGAGUGACAUUCAGGCCCGCAGGUGGAAGUUUUUCCGCCCUCGGCUGCUACAGAUUAACUUUAGAGGGGAGGACAAGAAAGGGACUCAGCAGCUGGAAAAAGGUGGAGGGACGCCUCUUUGUAACUGUGUGUCAGGUGAGAUAACAGAAGAGCAGUUUAACUCCCACCAGCAACAGCUGGUUCAGAUGCACAAACAGUUACAGCAAAAAGAACUCCAGCAGAACUCAACAGCACCAGAACCUCACACACACCCACCUAACAUGGUCUUGUCUGACUGCAUGUCUAAGACUCUGGACUCGGCUAGUGCACAUUUUGCUGCUUCUGCUGUAGUCAACACUCCCAACAAUGAAAACAGACCCCAGAUUGCUAGUGUCAAUGGCAUCCUUCCCAAUUCAGGAAGCUUUAGACAAGACAAAUUGAACUGUUCUGCACAGAGUGGAGGUGGUGAUUCAGGAUCAUUAAUAUUGGCAUCAAGCGGAUCCAAUUCCCAACUGCCUGUGCCUCAGUCUCUGCCUCACGGCCAUGGGCACCUGAGCACAGUGAGAGCCGUGUCUCCGGCCCACAUGCACCACAGCGCACGCCUGUGCGCCCCCUCCGCCUUAAAACUGGCCAGUGUUGCUAGCAGUCUGGACCGGGUACCCAAGGUCACCCCUACCAGUGCCAUCGACAGCAUCGCCAGGUCUGAACCCUGACAUGCCAGCAAUCAUUCACACCAAAAAGGACUAAAGAAUUUGCCCUAUCAGCAAUUUUUUAGAAUGAGAAAUACCUGAAAUAUUGUACUGCAAAAAUGUUGUAAAUAUUGUAUUGAUCCUUUGUUUAUUAUUUAUACAAAAUAAAUAAAAUACUUAUCAGACUUGAUAUGAUCUGGCCUUAAAGGGAUAGUUUACUCAAAAAUGUAUAUUCUGUCAUUUACUUACUCGUAUGUCGUUCCAAACCAGUAUUACUUUCUUCAGUAUAGCACAAAAUGAGAAGAAAUGAAAGUGGAUGGGGACCAGGGACUGUCAAGCUCUAAAAAUAUAUUUAAAAAAAUAUAGCAUAAAAAAAAAGGUCAAUUUGACUUGUAUACUAAUAUUCCAUGUCUUCUGAAGACAUAUGGUGGCUUUGUGUGAGGAACCAACCGAAAUUUUAGUUGAUAUUCUCUGAAAAUCCUGCUUUAACAAUUAUGAUCAUAGUUCAUAUUGAUUACAUGGAAAAGAGCAGCUUGGACAUUCUGUCAUAAAUGGUGAUGUUACUUCUGACAAUGAGGCUGCAAAGCAUGUACCAAGUACAUAGCGCAAUUUUCAGUGAAGCUUCAUAUCGAGGCAUGUAUUUUCAGGGUCACAUAGUCAAUGACAAACCAAGUCUCUCUUUUUGUCUAAUCACAUGCGUGCUCCACUUUGGGUGUUGGAAUGUUCGAAUCCAGACCUUAGUUUAUGGGUCGUAGUUGGCACAGUCUGGUUGAUUGCAUUGGAUUGUGAGUAGUGUUACUGUACUUUGAAAUUUUGUUAAGCGGUACUAGGUAUAUAUGUAUAUGUGUGUGUGUGUGUGUGUGUGUGUGUGUAUAUACACACACACACACACACACUGCUGUAUCCCAUCUGCCUCAAUGUUUGACGUGUUGUGUGUUCAGAAAUGCUUUUCUGCAUAGCACUGUUGUAAUGCAUGUUUAUUUGUGUUACUAUCACCUUCCUUUCAGUUUGGACCAGUCUGGUCAUACUCUGACCUCUGUCAUUAACAAGCCAUUUUCAGCCACUCGCUGGGUGUUUUUUGUUUUUCGCACCAUUCUCUUUACACUCUGGAGACUGUUGCGAGUGAAAAUUCCAGUAGAUCAGCAGUUACAGAAAUACUCAAACCAGCCCGUCUGGCACCAACAAUCAUGCCAUGGUCGAAAUCACUGAGAUCACAUUUUUUCCCCAUUCUGAUGGUUGAUGCGAACAUUUAACUGAAGCUCCUGACCUAUAUCUGCAUGAUUUUAUACAUUACAUUGCUGCCACACUAUUGGCUGAUUAUCGCAUGAAUAAGUAGAUGUACAGGUGUACCUAAUAAAGUGGCCGGUGAGUAUGUGUGUGUAUAGAUAGAUAGACAGACAGACAGACCUACUUGAAUAAGACAUGGCAUAUGCAGGCAAAGGAAAGGUUCCUCCAUUUAAGAACAUUUUGAAUUCAUGUCUUCCAAUAACGUGUCUUACAAAACAAAAUACCACCAGAUGGCACUGUUGUCAGUACUCUGCUGCUUUUAAUCUUUUUGUAGCACAGUUAGAAGAAAGCCUCAGAGCUUCACAAGGUUUCAUUCCCUAUCCCUUGUUAUAAACACUGGUUUGGAACAACCUGAGGGGAGAACCACGAACCAGAGAGACUGGCUCUCAAUGGCUUAUCAGAGACCACAGUAGCCAUGGAGGUCACAUAGCCCAACCAUAAACGCACAGACUUGAGUGCUGAGAGCUGUGCGCUUCUACACGGACUUAUACCCAAUAGCAGCAUAUCAAAAUAUUAAGAUAAAUUUGUCAAUAUUAUAAGUGUACAUUUUGCAAAAUUGGGAAUGAUCACUACCUUGUAAAAUAGCAUAUUUGUAUCAUUAGUCUGUCAUUUCUGUUACUUGAAAUUAGAUUUUUUUUUUUUCAUCAUGCUUUUGCACUUGGAAAUGCAAGCAAGACAAGUGCAUCAGUUCAUGUUGGGAUCAUGAGCAUGAAUAUAGGUCCUGCAUCACUUGUUUUAACUAUUUAUUUUGCAAUGUUUACAUUUUUGUAUCUCGUACAAAUAAAUCCAAUUUUGUGGCCACAAAAUGCAGACAUGGCUAGUA